rnacentral:rRNA from 2 species
AUUUGGCCUGCCCAAUGAUUUAUAUAUUUAAUGGCCGCGGUAUUUUGACCGUGCGAAGGUAGCAUAAUCAUUAGCCUAUUUAUUGUAGGAUAGUAUGAAUGGUUUGACGAAAUAUUAACUGUCUCAUUUUAAUAAUUUAAAAUUUAAUUUUUGAGUUAAAAAGCUUAAUUUUUUUUAAAGGACGAGAAGACCCUAUAGAUCUUUAUUUUUUUUAUUUUUAUAUUUUUUUAGGUUGUUUUAUUAUAUUUUUAUUUAUUAUUUCGUUGGGGUGAUGUUAGGAUUUAUUUAACUCCUUUUUUUUCUUAUCAUUUAUUUUUGUUUUUUUUUUGAUCUUUUAUUAUUGCUUAUAAGAUUUAGAUACCUUAGGGAUAACAGCGUAAUUCUUUUUAAGAGUUCAUAUUGACAAUGGAGUUUGCGACCUCGAUGUUGAAUUAAGAUUAUUUUUAGGUGAAGUAGCUUAAUUAUUAAGUCUGUUCGACUUUUAAUAUCUUACAUGAUCUGAGUUCAAA